AUGCACCCCUCGCUCGCGGCCCAGCCUAGGUCACAAGCUGGGGCCGCAUGGGCCCCACAGACACCCCCUCGGCUGGAGUCUAGCCCCCUUGGUUCUCUUUUGGUGAGAAACUGGCAAUAUUUUUUUCUUGAUUUUCCAGGCUAUGAAAAAUUACUUUCUCCAUUGGACUUAAGUUUGGUGCUUUUUGUAGCUUUUUCUACAAUUCCCCUCGUCCGUUGCAACAUAAAAAUUAAGAGGAAAAGACAUAAUAAUUAUGUGAUAAUGUGCAAAAUAUGGUCAAUAAGGAGUAAUUUAUACUAA
rnacentral:rRNA from 1 species